rnacentral:rRNA from 1 species
CAGUAGCCACGGUAAUACGAAGGGGGCUAGCGUUGCUCGGAAUUACUGGGCGUAAAGGGCGCGUAGGCGGAUAGUUUAGUCAGAGGUGAAAGCCCAGGGCUCAACCUUGGAAUUGCCUUUGAUACUGGCUAUCUUGAGUUCGGAAGAGGUAAGUGGAAUGCCGAGUGUAGAGGUGAAAUUCGUAGAUAUUCGCAAGAACACCAGUGGCGAAGGCGGCUCACUGGCCCGAUACUGACGCUGAGGCACGAAAGCGUGGGGAGCAAACAGGAUUAGAUACCCCCGUAGUCCCUGUCUCUUAUAC